rnacentral:lncRNA from 1 species
GAUUUUGAGAGCCUUUCUCUCUGUUGAAAUUUGAUCAAAUUUAAAACAGUAAAAUGAAGGUUUUCUAUUUUUUUACAUGCUUCUGGAAAAUGAACAAAAAAAAAAAAAAAAAAAAAAAUUGCACAACAGCCACAUUAAUAUAGCAAUGUAGAGGUCUUGGAUCCUGCUUUUCGGCUCUUCUGUUUUCCAGGUGAAGGCAUUGGAGCUUGUAAUCAAUUCUUUAUCUCUAAUGAUACUUUCUAUUUUAUUUCAGGUCCUCAUCAAACUUUUUCUAUCAUUGUGCUUUUCAUCUUCCCUCAAGUGCUGUUGUUUCAACUUCUGGUAUCAUCCAAUUCAUUACCUCUUGCCAUUAGUUGUUCUUAUGCUUCCAAAAUAUCAAGAAAACAAGAUUGUGUCAAAAUGUCAUUGGAAUUCAAUUAUGCUCCGAGAACUGCCAGUGAUGAGUUAUUGAAUGUCCAAGAAGUUUUCAUUGUCUUCCUCUUCCUCAUUUCAGAAAGGAAUAGAAAUUUUUAAAAAAGAGAAGAGAAACCUCUUGAAAAGUGUGUGUAUCUAGUAUGUUUUCAUUUUUCUAACUGGGAAUAGAUUAUUGUUAUUUUCAUUAUAUGAUUAUUUAUUUAUUAAUUAAUGUUUUUCUCAUUUUGAUACUAAUUAAGCGUUUGUUUAAGAAUGUACUCCUUAUUUGUGAAAGUCUCUUUUUGCAUUUUAGAUCCAAAGCUUUUAAUUUCCUAAUUUGUGGUUUUAAUCCAAGUUCCUUAAUUUUUCUAAAUGUUUUUUAUUCUGAAAAAGUAGGUAACAUGGUUAGAAGACUUAAAUCUUAAAUUUUCCCUUACCUCCUCCACUGAAAUAAAUUAAUCAAAAAUAUUUUCUGAGAAAGGUAUUUUUCUACGUUUUAUUAGGGUGUUGGAAUUGAUUUUCAAUGAGGGAAUAUUUUCACGCUCCAGAAUUAGCUUAUUUUUCUAUUUGAAUUGAUGUUAGGUAAAUCCCUCUUUAAUAAAAAUCAAAUCCCCUAAUUUAUUUUGUUUUAAGUACAUACAUACUCUCACUUUGUGUCUGUCCCAAGUAUUAUUGCUUGUUAUUUAUUUAUUUUGUCUGCUUUUUUAUUUGAUCAUCAUGAAUUAAUUUAUGUUUUUCACUCUUAUCAAUAUUUAUUUUUAAAGAAUUUAUAAUAUAAUCGUUCUAUUAUUUACUAUGAUUACACUUAUUUUAACUUGCUUGUGUUGAAUAAAUGAAAAGUGGUAUUACUAUUUUACAAUGGUAUUUUUCUGUGUCUGUAAACUACUUGUAUUAAGUUUUAAACCAGCACUCUAGAGGUGACUUUCAAGAAAAAACGCUCUUGCACCAAGUGUAAUUCAGUAACAGGUUUAUUUCAAAAUUCAAGUUUAAAUAUGGCCAGUGUAAAAUUAAUCUCACAUGCUCCUCUUAAUGAAUCAGACUCGGAUGUCUGCUCGUAAAGUCAAAAUUUUAAAAGCUUAUUCUAUAUAAAUAAUAAAAAUUGUAUAAAUAUAAAUUGAAAGCCCAAUGGCAGUAUCUCGGAAUACUCUGCUCUCUAUUGCCA